UUUUUUCUUUUCGUUCUCAAGAAUUCAUAUAGAUAGAGGAUGGAUAUGUAUAAGAAUAUAUAAAGAGUGGAAUUUGAGGAGAAUGCUCAAGUCUCUUCAAAAUUGGAUCGUAAGAGUAUUUGGUUCUAAUUGAUUUUAUCGAAACUUUCCCUGGUUCUUGUCAGCUUGUAAGAGUAGUUGUGUAGUUUCCGUUAACCAUCUAGUUAAGGAUAAGUUGUAGAUAAACGUGUUUUAUCUUUUACCCCUACAUUGUGAACCAGUCCCUACAAACCUAAAUCAAGACCCUCAAGUAUGUCUAGUCAGGAACCUCUCUUAUGAAUUUGUAUGCAGGUGCCAAUCGAUAUUAUCUGAUGUGUAUGAAUGAGUUUUUGGCAUUUGGAGGUGGAGGAAACUUCGCUCUAUGCUUAGACGAAGAUUUGUAAGGCACAAUCUGGCUCAAAACAUUUUAAAGAUUUGCCAUUUUUAUCGUUUUGAUGGUACUCAAACCAAUCGCCGUUGUACAUGAACUAGGUUGAAGGCAACAAGUGGACCUUCUGAAACAUUUGGGAACGAAUGCUUAGCUAGCAGUACAGAGUUUGAGUUAAAAAAUGUCGAGGUAUAUACACAUAUAAUCCACCUUGUUCAACAUAAUAUGCAAUCUUAAAGUUAUCAAUGCAAAGUUAAAUGUUGUUAACAUCUGCAGCUCUGGGGAUUUGCACAUGCGUCUCAAUACCUCUCCUCCUGAUCUUGGAGAUCACUUUCUUUGUCAAGAAUCGAGAUACCUCAAUAGAAAACAAAGAUCACAGUCUUUAUUUUUUGUUUUCAAUCAGUUAAUUGUUUCAGUGUUAUGAUUAGGCUUAAGACUGUUUUUUUUUGUCAGACUAAAAUCCUUUGAAAGAGUGACUAUAUUACAUGUUUGUAUCUGUGAAUUACUGAGAAUACUAAUUCAGCUGGGAGCUUAUUGAACAUUGAUUUGACUGUAAUUCUAAGAUAGUGUUAAUGUUUGUUAUCUAAAUCAGAUGGUCUUGUACAAAGAGAAUGGCACACUUACCUUUUCAGGUGAGGAUGAAAGUUUGAAAUCUUACUUGCUUUGUUGUAAUUCAUUUGCAUGUAUUGUGAAAUAGGUUAAGUUACCUGUUAACACAUCUAAAUGCAAUAUAAUAAACUCAUAAAUUACCAAAAGAUCCGUUGUAACACAUUUAGUCGAUAAAUCUUUAAAGUUUUGAAAUUUGUUUGAUAUCAACUCAAAGUUAUUUACGUUUGAUAUGCUGUUUAAUUUGAUACAUUGCAAAACUUUAAUAACAACCUUUAAUGAAUCCAUCCAAUAAUCUUAGUUAAAAUUCAAUGGCAUUUUACGUAAUAAACUACAAAUCUAAUGCUUCUUUUGAAAGUAGAUAUAUCUAUACUAUUAAAGCUAAAAUACCCAUUAUUUAUAAACAAAGUUUCUCACCGAAAUAAACUACACCUCUCAUUUUCAGAUCUUUGUACAUUGAAUAUAGUAUUUUUGAAAAUGGACACCCGUAGACGGUAUCAUAAAAAGAUUAUUUGUGCAAAUCCCCCUUAAAUAAGUAUCUCUUUAAAAAAAUACUUUGGAUAUGAUAUUCUUAAAAUAUUUUUAAAAAAUACUUUGGAUAUUAUUUUAAAAGAUUAUUUUUAUUUUUAUUUUGAAAAUAAAUAUUCCGUCUAGUAGAAGGGUCCCAACUCCUAAUAUAGAUAAGAAAAUAUAAUAUUUAAUUAAUAUUGAUUAUUAUUUUGUUAAUGUUAUGAUUAUCCAAAUUUUAACACACGCAAUAUUUUUAAUUUAUACCUGAAAACAUAAAUAAA
rnacentral:lncRNA from 1 species